GAAAUGCGAUAAGUAAUGUGAAUUGUAGAAUUCAGUGAAUCAUCGAAUCUUUGAACGCAUCUUGCGCUCCUUGGUAUUCCUUGGAGCAUGCCUGUUUGAGUAUCAUGAAAUCUUCAAAGUAAAUCUUUUGUUAACUCAAUUGGUUUCUACUUUGGUAUUGGAGGUCUUUGCAGCUUCACACCUGCUCCUCUUUGUUCAUUAGCUGGAUCUCAGUGUUAUGCUUGGUUCCACUCGGCGUGAUAAGUUAUCUAUCGCUGAGGACACUGUAAAAGGUGGCCAAGGUAAAUGCAGAUGAACCGCUUCUAAUAGUCCAUUGACUUGGACAAUACUUUUAUGAUCUGAUCUCAAAUCAGGUAGGACUACCCGCUGAACUUAAGC
rnacentral:misc_RNA from 1 species